AAAGAACCCCGGCGAGGGGAGUGAAAAAGAACCUGAAACCGUGUACGUACAAGCAGUGGGAGCACCCUUUGGGGUGUGACUGCGUACCUUUUGUAUAAUGGGUCAGCGACUUAUAUUCUGUAGCAAGGUUAACCGUAUAGGGGAGCCGGAGGGAAACCGAGUCUUAAUUGGGCGUUAAGUUGCAGGGUAUAGACCCGAAACCCGGUGAUCUAGCCAUGGGCAGGUUGAAGGUUGGGUAACACUAACUGGAGGACCGAACCGACUAAUGUUGAAAAAUUAGCGGAUGACCUGUGGCUGGGGGUGAAAGGCCAAUCAAACCGGGAGAUAGCUGGUUCUCCCCGAAAGCUAUUUAGGUAGCGCCUCGUGAAUUCAUCUCCGGGGGUAGAGCACUGUUUCGGCUAGGGGGCCAUCCCGGCUUACCAACCCGAUGCAAACUGCGAAUACCGGAGAAUGUUAUCACGGGAGACACACGGCGGGUGCUAACGUCCGUCGUGAAGAGGGAAACAACCCAGACCGCCAGCUAAGGUCCCAAAGUCAUGGUUAAGUGGGAAACGAUGUGGGAAGGCCCAGACAGCCAGGAUGUUGGCUUAGAAGCAGCCAUCAUUUAAAGAAAGCGUAAUAGCUCACUGGUCGAGUCGGCCUGCGCGGAAGAUGUAACGGGGCUAAACCAU
rnacentral:rRNA from 1 species